AUAAUAACAUUUAGGACAAUAGUCAAUCCUUACAUUUUGGGGUUUAUUGACUAAACACUGAAUUUUAGUGUCUUGAAAUGCAAAUUGCAAAUUUAGGUAAAAAUUUUUUUGAUUUGGGCAAAUUCUUCAACUCUGCUUUACUACUUUUAACUAGAGUUGAGCGAACGUUCGGGUUCGUACCGAACAUUACGAUUUUUGGACCCCGAACCAGAACCCAG